rnacentral:tRNA from 1 species
GAGGGUAUAGCUCAGUGGUAGGGUGCUUUUCUGCAUGCACGAGGUUCUGGGUUCAAUCCCCAGUACCUCCU